UUUUUAGCUAGUGGUGGUAGGUUCGAUGAUUGAGGGUAAUAUUGGUUUUGUAUAAAUGUGUUUGAGAAAGUGAUAGAAGUAGAGAAACCAAGUGUAUUAAGCAAUUUUAGAAUUUGAGCGAAUCGAACAAAAAUUUGAGCGAUCUGAAGCUGAUUUGUCAAUUAUAUUUUUGAAUGGGAUAUAGAAGAAAAUGUAAUGGAUCCGAGCUUGGAAGUUCAACUUAAGCAUGCACUUGGAGAUGAUCUUAUAGACGAUGAA
rnacentral:lncRNA from 1 species